rnacentral:rRNA from 1 species
AGUGAACGCUGGCGGUAGGCCUAACACAUGCAAGUCGAACGGCAGCACAGUAAGAGCUUGCUCUUACGGGUGGCGAGUGGCGGACGGGUGAGGAAUACAUCGGAAUCUACUUUUUCGUGGGGGAUAACGUAGGGAAACUUACGCUAAUACCGCAUACGACCUACGGGUGAAAGCAGGGGAUCUUCGGACCUUUCGCGAUUGAAUGAGCCGAUGUCGGAUUAGCUAGUUGGCGGGGUAAAGGCCCACCAAGGCGACGAUCCGUAGCUGGUCUGAGAGGAUGAUCAGCCAAACUGGAACUGAGAAACGGUCCAGAAACCUACGGGAGGCAGCAGUGGGGAAUAUUGGACAAGGGGCGAAAGACUGAUCCAGCCAUACCGCGUGGGUGAAGAAGGCCUUCGGGUUGUAAAGCCCUUUUGUUGGGAAAGAAAAGCAGCAGGUUAAUACCCCGCUGUUCUGACGGUACCAAAAGAAUAAGCACCGGCUAACUUCGU